CAACUACUCCCUCCGUCCCAAAUUUCUUGUCUUAGAUUUGUCUAGAUACGGAUGUAUCUAAUACUAAAAUGUGACUUGAUACAUCCGUAUCUAGACAAAUCUAAGACAAGAAUUUUGGGACGGAGGGAGUACUUU
rfam:Triticum aestivum genome assembly, contig: Triticum_aestivum_CS42_TGACv1_scaffold_289411_4AL